rnacentral:ncRNA from 1 species
GGGUGUCGGGUCCGCGGGUGCGGCCGGACAGGUUUCUUGUGUCGGUCGGGCCGCCGCA